rnacentral:rRNA from 1 species
GGGAAUCUACCUUUUGCUACGGAAUAACUCAGGGAAACUUGUGCUAAUACCGUAUGUGCCCCCCUUUAAAAUUUCAGGAUACAUAAAAUGCCCUGGCAUUUUAUGGGGGGGAAAGAUUUAUCGGCAAAGGAUGAGCCCGCGUUGGAUUAGCUAGUUGGUGGGGUAAAGGCCCACCAAGGCGACGAUCCAUAGCUGGUCUGAGAGGAUGAUCAGCCACACUGGGACUGAGACACGGCCCAGACUCCUACGGGAGGCAGCAGUGGGGAAUAUUGGACAAUGGGCGCAAGCCUGAUCCAGCCAUGCCGCGUGAGUGAUGAAGGCCCUAGGGUUGUAAAGCUCUUUCACCGGUGAAGAUAAUGACGGUAACCGGAGAAGAAGCCCCGGCUAACUUCGUGCCAGCAGCCGCGGUAAUACGAAGGGGGCUAGCGUUGUUCGGAUUUACUGGGCGUAAAGCGCACGUAGGCGGACUUUUAAGUCAGGGGUGAAAUCCCAGAGCUCAACUCUGGAACUGCCUUUGAUACUGGAAGUCUUGAGUAUGGUAGAGGUGAGUGGAAUUCCGAGU